UUAAAAACGGUUUUUGAAAACAUUAACUUUGGAAGUUAAAGGAUGGGGGAACCCAUUUUUAAA
rnacentral:tRNA from 1 species